rnacentral:lncRNA from 1 species
GGCGCUGCACUGGAAUACUCCAUCUUUUCCGCGCUUCUGAACUCUUAAGCUAAUUUCUUAACCUCUGUAAUAGCUACACAUACAUGUUGCGCUGAGUGCCAGGUCUUCUAAAAGGCACAGCGCGCGGUUUGUCCGAUGCGGCGGCGAGAUCCACCACACCUGCUAUGUAUCAGAUACCUACGAAAAGAUCUUUGAAUACAUAUAUAAUUAUUGUCAAGCUAUAAUUGUUUGUUCGUGGAUGUGGAACACCUCGCAAGCGAUCGAUAACGUGGGCCAGACCCUUCCCGUCGAACGUACGACAAACGACUUCAUCUUGCCAAACAAAUCCCAAGCGGUUUCAUCAUCAAGAUACACUGCAUAUCAAAUGCGCCAUCCGUGAUAUAUUUUGGAGUACAGCACAAAGAAUGUCACGAGAGGCACUGCCAACGGAUCAAACAACGGCUCGUACAACCAAUCCCAACAACCCGCGAACAAAAUCACAACGCAGCACCACUUUUACAACUCCAUCGCAAAAGCGAAUUUGCUACGUUGUGUGUCAAUAAAACACCACGGAUAUANNNNNNNNNNNNNNNNNNNNNNNNNNNNNNNNNNNNNNNNNNNNNNNNNNACCGUUUUUAGUGACCACCAAGCGCCUGUAUAGAGACUACGAUGCAUGGCGGCUGCACUAGAAUACAAAAUCGAUCUCUUAUGCGCGGUGCUGGACUGCUAAUAUAAGCUAUAUAAUCUCUCUAUUUAUAUAGCAGCUGUGAGAGUCCCAGGGCUAAUAAAAGGAAUUGCGUGCGCGGUUUGCCCGAUGAAGGCGGCGGCAAAAUCCCACCCAUCACCUACUAUUAUUUAUUAUACACGCGUCAGAUGUCAGUGAAGGAGACAGCGAAUCUACGAAAAUCACUUUGAAUGAAUGUUGUUAUAUAGUGAUAUAAAAUUAUUAUUGUGUGUGCCUGUGAUGUGUGCGCGAGAGGGAAGGCCACAUAAUAUACUACAACGGCGUGCGCGGCAGAAAAAGCUAUACACAUCUCUCCCAGGAAAACGCGCUGCCUGCAGGCUCUUUUUGCCUAUUAUGCUCUUAAAAAAACCCCGACCAUAACACUUACCGAUGGCGCUACACACGGCGGAUGUCGGGUAGGCGGACUGCUUAAACCCUAAGCACUAGCACGAGCACUGGCACUGGCGCUGGCGCUUGGCUCGUCCUAGCCAUGUCUCUGCUUUUCACCUGCUGGCUGGGGGGGGGGAGGGGAGGAAAAUUAAAAACAAUUAGGGUGACGGCACAUUUUUUAUAAAAGUUUCUAUCGUAUGAAAAGUGAGGGGGGGCAGCAGGUGUGAGCAUGAGCAAACAUUUCCUGUUUUUAAAAUAUGUGUACACAGCAGAUGUAGAUAAUGUGGGAGGGCUGUGGGUACGCCCCCACCCCCACCCCCGCCCUCUUCAUCUUUUCCCCAGAAGGCCACGCCCUCAAAAACCAACAUAUCGCCACACACCUAUGCCCCAAUUCCCGGACGCUUUCUAAACCUUUCUAUGUGCCAUUACCUUCAGAUAGGAUGCCUGUCCACCAUUUUUCAGUGACCCCCCAAGCGCCUGUAUAGAGACUACGAUGCACGGCGGCUGCACUAGAAUACGAAAUCGAUCUCUUAUGCGCGGCGCUGGACUGCUAAUAUAAGCUAUAUAAUCUCUCUCUAUAUAUAGCAGCUGUGAGAGUCCCAGGGCUAAUAAAAGGAAUUGCGUGCACGGUUUGCCCGAUGAGGCGGCGGCGAAAUCCCACACAUCACCUACUGUAAUACACGCGUCAAGAGUCAGAGAAGGAGACAGCGAAUCUACGAUUAUUAAUAUUAUUAUUAUUGUGUGUGUGUGCCUGUGAUGUGUGCGCGAGAGGGAAAGCCACAUAAUAUACUACAACGACGUGCGCGGCAGAAAAAGCUACAUACAACUCUCCCAGGAAAACGCGCAGCCUGCAGGCUCCUUUUGCCUAUUAUGUUCUUAAAAACCCCGACCAUAACACUUACCGAUGGCUUUACACACGGAGGGGCAGACAACUGCUGCACCGCGACGGCAUCACGAUGCAUCCGCACCAAGCCCGGCAGCUCUUUUCAAAACAUAUCGCCCUGUGCGGAGCAUGAUACAGUUGCAUACAGGGAGUGAGAAAACCACUCAAUUCGAUGGUACGCGCGCACACAGAAUAUCCUUUUGGAUGAUCUCUACUAGCCACGACUUACUGGCCACGAGAGGCGGCGCUGCACUGGAAUACUCCAUCUUUUCCGCGCUUCUGAACUCUUAAGCUAAUUUCUUAACCUCUGUAAUAGCUACACAUACAUGUUGCGCUGAGUGCCAGGUCUUCUAAAAGGCACAGCGCGCGGUUUGUCCGAUGCGGCGGCGAGAUCCACCACACCUGCUAUGUAUCAGAUACCUACGAAAAGAUCUUUGAAUACAUAUAUAAUUAUUGUCAAGCUAUAAUUGUUUGUUCGUGGAUGUGGAACACCUCGCAAGCGAUCGAUAACGUGGGCCAGACCCUUCCCGUCGAACGUACGACAAACGAC